GGCUCAGGACGAACGCUGGCGGCGUGCCUAAUACAUGCAAGUCGAGCGGACAGAAGGGAGCUUGCUCCCGGAUGUUAGCGGCGGACGGGUGAGUAACACGUGGGUAACCUGCCUGUAAGACUGGGAUAACUCCGGGAAACCGGAGCUAAUACCGGAUAGUUCCUUGAACCGCAUGGUUCAAGGAUGAAAGACGGUUUCGGCUGUCACUUACAGAUGGACCCGCGGCGCAUUAGCUAGUUGGUGGGGUAAUGGCUCACCAAGGCGACGAUGCGUAGCCGACCUGAGAGGGUGAUCGGCCACACUGGGACUGAGACACGGCCCAGACUCCUACGGGAGGCAGCAGUAGGGAAUCUUCCGCAAUGGACGAAAGUCUGACGGAGCAACGCCGCGUGAGUGAUGAAGGUUUUCGGAUCGUAAAGCUCUGUUGUUAGGGAAGAACAAGUGCGAGAGUAACUG
rnacentral:rRNA from 1 species